CCUGACGGUAGUCGUAUGCUCGUCUCCGAGACUAAGCCAUGCAAGUCCAAGUACACGUCCUUGAACGACGGAAACUGCGAACGGCUCAUUAAAUCAGUUGCGAUCUACUCGGCGUUCCGCGCCGCCGGAUAACCGUAGUAAUUCUAGGGCUAAUACGUGCGAAGCGCCCGAAGCCGCGAGGCGACGGGCGUUCUCGCCGGAUGUAGGAACCGACCCGGGGACCGCCGGGGCAACCCCGGCGCCCCCGAGACGGGGCGAACCACGGUGAAAUGACGGAUCGUCGGCCCCGCGCCGGCGACUCGCCGAAUGAAUUUCUGCCCUAUCAACUAGAUGGUAGUAUAUAGGACUACCAUGGUUGUAACGGGUAACGGAGGAUUAGGGUUUGAUUCCGGAGAAGGAGCAUGAGAAACGGCUACUAUUUCUAAGGAAAGCAGCAGGCGCGCAAAAUUAUUCAAUGGAAACAAUUUUCCGAAAUAGUGAC
rnacentral:rRNA from 1 species